rnacentral:rRNA from 1 species
GUGCCAGCAGCCGCGGUAAUACGGAGGGUGCAAGCGUUGCUCGGAAUUAUUGGGCGUAAAGCGCACGCAGGCGGCAGAAUAAGUCAGUUGUGAAACUCCCGGGCUUAACUUGGGAACUGCAGCUGAUACUGUCCUGCUUGAGUACGGAAGAGGGGAGCGGAAUUCCCAGUGUAGAGGUGAAAUUCGUAGAUAUUGGGAGGAACACCGGUGGCGAAAGCGGCUCCCUGGUCCGAUACUGACGCUCAUGUGCGAAAGCGUGGGGAGCAAACAGGAUUAGAUACCCGCGUAGUCC